rnacentral:miRNA from 15 species
CAUUGAUGUGUUAGCUUGAUGA